rnacentral:rRNA from 1 species
GAUGAACGCUGGCGGCGUGCCUAAUACAUGCAAGUCGAGCGAACGGACGAGAAGCUUGCUUCUCUGAUGUUAGCGGCGGACGGGUGAGUAACACGUGGAUAACCUACCUAUAAGACUGGGAUAACUUCGGGAAACCGGAGCUAAUACCGGAUAAUAUUUUGAACCGCAUGGUUCAAAGGUGAAAGACGGUCUUGCUGUCACUUAUAGAUGGAUCCGCGCUGCAUUAGCUAGUUGGUAAGGUAACGGCUUACCAAGGCAACGAUGCAUAGCCGACCUGAGAGGGUGAUCGGCCACACUGGAACUGAGCCACGGUCCAGACUCCUACGGGAGGCAGCAGUAGGGAAUCUUCCGCAAUGGGCGAAAGCCUGACGGAGCAACGCCGCGUGAGUGAUGAAGGUCUUCGGAUCGUAAAACUCUGUUAUUAGGGAAGAACAUAUGUGUAAGUAACUGUGCACAUCUUGACGGUACCUAAUCAGAAAGCCACGGCUAACUACGUG